rnacentral:ncRNA from 2 species
AGCAGAGUAAAUAUUGUGCAUUAAGUGUUAGAGAAUGGGAGGUUGUCUCUAAACGAAAAGCAGCUGGGCUUAUGAUGCAAUAUUGCUUCCACUGUU